rnacentral:rRNA from 1 species
CAGUCGCCGCGGGAAUACGAAGGUCCCGAGCGUUGUUCGGAAUCACUGGGCGUAAAGGGGGCGUAGGCGGCGUGGUAAGUCAGAUGUGAAAUCCCGGGGCUCAACCCCGGAACUGCAUCCGAUACUGCCAUGCUAGAGGAUUGGAGAGGUAGCUGGAAUUCUUGGUGUAGCAGUGAAAUGCGUGGAGAUCAAGAGGAACACUCGUGGCGAAAGCGAGCUACUGGACAAUAACUGACGCUGAGGCUCGAAGGCCAGGGUAGCGAAAGGGAUUAGAUACCCCUGUAGUCCCUGUCUCUUAUAC